rnacentral:rRNA from 1 species
UACGGAGGGUGCGAGCGUUGUCCGGAAUCACUGGGCGUAAAGGGCGCGUAGGUGGCACGGGUAGUCGUCGGUGAAAGCUCAGGGCUCAACCCUGAGUCGGCCGGUGAUACUCCCGAGCUCGAGUGUGGUAGAGGCCAAUGGAAUUCCGGGUGUAGCGGUGGAAUGCGUAGAGAUCCGGAAGAACACCGGUGGCGAAGGCGGUUGGCUGGGCCACAACUGACGAC